GAUGAACGCUAGCGGCAGGCCUAACACAUGCAAGUCGAGGGAGAAGCCUUUCGGGGCAGAAACCGGCGCACGGGUGCGUAACGCGUAUGCAACCUACCUUUCACAGGGGGAUAGCCCGAAGAAAUUUGGAUUAAUACCCCAUAAUAUUGUUGGAUGGCAUCAUUUGACAAUUAAAACUGAGGUGGUGGAAGAUGGGCAUGCGUCCUAUUAGCUAGUUGGAGUGGUAACGGCACCCCAAGGCUACGAUAGGUAGGGGUCCUGAGAGGGAGAUCCCCCACACUGGUACUGAGACAGGGACCAGACUCCUACGGGAGGCAGCAGUGAGGAAUAUUGGUCAAUGGUCGGAAGACUGAACCAGCCAUGCCGCGUGCAGGAAGAAUGCCUUAUGGGUUGUAAACUGCUUUUAUAUGGGAAGAAUAAGGUGUAACGUGUACA
rnacentral:rRNA from 1 species